rnacentral:rRNA from 1 species
AUGAAGCUCGUCUCUCUGCUAGCCGAUGCUGCUCUCUGUUGGCCUGUUGUUGCUGCUCCGCUGCCUGCUAGCUGCUUCUUGCCCGGUCUCUACUGCUGCUCCGCGGCUGCUGCUCUACUCCUCCACGGCCACCGCCGCCGCAAGCCACUGCUGCUGAGGAGCGCCACCAGGAAUCAACCUGCCGCCUGUAGGAACGCGCCGUCGCGGUUCCCGUUGUUCCUGUUGCAGCCAGUCAUUGCUCCCUGCUUGCAGCCGUUGGUGACGCGCCUGAGGGCUGACUGGAUCGGGGCCGGAGUGGCCGAAUCGCGGUGGAGCGGCGCACAAGAAGGUGGUGGUGGCCAGGUCGUCGCAGUGGCGCUAGCCCUCACGGCCGGAGCGGGAAUGGAGGAGAUAACCAGGGCGGAGCGGGCAUGCAUGGCUGGCGGCUGGAGAUUGGCUUCUUCAACGGAGAAGAGGAGGGAAUGGUUAGUAGGGCUCGAUGAGAAGCUGCGUAAUGGAGAAGGCGAGCUUCUCGAUCUUGACAGCACGGCUGUCGUCGGCGUCCUUGGAGGCAACGUGGGCGUGGAUCUCAUCUCCCACAUCCAGUUUGAAUCCACCUCGAUUGUGAGGAUGCUGGCGGCGUUAUCUUCGAUCGCAUCGUGGCCGUCCCUGAGCGAGGCGCCCCGGCAGGUCAUCUUCAUCCUCGACGGCGGAAGCCUGACUUAG